rnacentral:rRNA from 1 species
CAGCCGCCGCGGUAAUACAGAGGGUGCAAGCGUUAAUCGGAAUUACUGGACGUAAAGCGCGCGUAGGUGGUUUGUUAAGUUGGAUGUGAAAUCCCCGGGCUCAACCUGGGAACUGCAUCCAAAACUGGCAAGCUAGAGUAUGGUAGAGGGUGGUGGAAUUUCCUGUGUAGCGGUGAAAUGCGUAGAUAUAGGAAGGAACACCAGUGGCGAAGGCGACCACCUGGACUGAUACUGACACUGAGGUGCGAAAGCGUGGGGAGCAAACAGGAUUAGAUACCCCAGUAGUCCCUGUCUCUUAUAC